UACGUAGGUGGCAAGCGUUGUCCGGAUUUACUGGGCGUAAAGGGUAUGCAGGCGGGUUUUUAAGUAGGAAGUGAAAGGUUGGAGCUCAACUCCGACACUGCUUUCUAUACUGGGAGCCUUGAGUGCCGGAGAGGAAGAGGGAACUGCACGUGUAGCGGUGAUAUGCGUUGAGAUGUGCAGGAACACCAAUGGCGAAAGCACUCUUCUGGACGGUUACUGACGCUGAGAUACGAAAGCCAAGGGAGCGAACAGG
rnacentral:rRNA from 1 species